rnacentral:rRNA from 1 species
GAUUAACGUUGGUAGUAUGCCUAACACAUGCAAGUCGAGCGGAGAAAGAUAGCAAUAUCUUUUUUAGCGGCGAACGGGUGAGUAAUGCUUACUUAACUUGCCGACUAGUGGGGGACAACCAUGGGAAACCAUGGCUAAUACCGCAUUUGUUACUUUUGUAAUUAAAGGAAAUCUUCGGAUUUUCGCUAGUCGAGAGGGGUAAGUCGUAUUAUGUUUGUUGGUGGGGUAAUGGCCUACCAAGACUAUGAUGCGUAGCCAGUCUGAGAGGAUGUUUGGCCACAAGGGAACUGGGACACGGUCCCUACUCCUACGGGAGGCAGCAGUGAGGAAUUUUCCGCAAUGGGGGAAACCCUGACGGAGCAAUACUACGUGAAGGAUGAAGGUCUAAGGAUUGUAAACUUCUGUUAGCGCGGAAUAAGAGUUAUUUAUUUAACUUUGAAGGUACGCGCAAAGAAAGCCACGACUAACUAUGUGCCAGCAGCCGCAGUAAAAC